AGAGACCAAACAGGGUUAAGAUCUAGUCACUAGUUAAAGCACUAAAAUGAUUUAUCACCUAAAUACCUCUGGUUCUUGUGUGGUUAGGUCUUCGAUCAAUGCCUCUUAGCAAGCAUGUGCCUACUACUAUUGUUUACGACGGGUUGCAGAAGAAACAAUGCUUUAAAGGAGUGGCAUCUGCGCUAAACGAGUCGUCGUGAUGCUCGUGACCAUAUGCUUGGAAGAUUAUCUUCAAUUUUGCCAAAUAGUAAUUGUUCGUGUGCAGGGAUCUGUCUUUCUGGUGAUCUUGUUUGUCAGAAAAUGAAGUAUCUUCACUAAGGAAGAGGUUGAAUACUAAACCUUCUCAUGGUCCUAUUCAUUUCAGGCUCCUGCUAAGAUCCUUUGGAGGACAAUCCAUCGUUACUUGUUUGUUUCUAGUAUGAUUCCACACAAGACCAAGCGUGGGGCUGCUGCACUUGCUCGAUUUAAGGCUUAUGAGGGUAUUCCACCACCAUAUGACAAGGCUAAGAGGAUGUUCUCCCUGUUGCUCUUGAGUUUUUGAAACUUCAACCUGGACAGAAGUACUGCUUGUUGGGAAGACUUUCGUCUGAGGUUGGUUGGACUGUCGCUGGUACCAUCAAGUAUGCAUGUUUAGCUUACCGCCACAUCAAAAUAGACAUUCCUGCCAUAUACGAGGUUUACAUGGAGCUAUUAUCAUCUUUCCAAUUGCUUCUGUAUCAUCUAAAAAAAUUCAGCUAUUCACUGCUGGCGUUUGUGUUUCAACUUGCAACUCUGUGUAUAUUACUGUGAGUGACAACUCUGGUGUUAGUGUUUGUUUCACAUCUGACAUGCUGUACCGGCCAUUCAAUGGCAUAUAGUCGUUCUGUCUAAUUAUAUAUUUUUUGAAGAAUCCUUUAUCUGAAGAAUAAAGAGGGAAACUAAAUAUGUUACAAAAAUGAUUUACAUGCAUCAACCCCGAACUAAAACACAUUCGACUUUGUGAGCUAAUUACGUACAAGUGUUGUGUCCCAAUUGAAGACCACUUGGCCAGUUGAUAUAAACUUAUUAAAGACCUCUUGCUCUGAACCAACAAAAGGAUCUCAUGAAUAACCAAGAUCUUGAGGGCAUCUGCUGGUUUAAUUGUGCCUCCAAAAACCCUUAUAGUUUCUUUGUCUGAUUGUCUCCAUAGACGCAAUUAACAAUAAAGUAGUGGAGGCCAAAUGUGAAUGUUUUUGCAUUUUUGUACAUUCAAUCCUUCUAUAAACUGUUGAAAUAUUGAGAGUUGCAUCAAAAAAAAGAAGAAUUGGGAGUUACAAACCCAUGAGAUUCUAAAUGGCAUAUAUGACCCAACAGCAUAUGA